UGAGGAAUAUUGGUCAAUGGGCGAGAGCCUGAACCAGCCAAGUAGCGUGAAGGAUGAAGGUCCUAUGGAUUGUAAACUUCUUUUAUAGUAGAAUAAAGUGAGCCACGUGUGGUUUUUUGUAUGUAUACUAUGAAUAAGGAUCGGCUAACUCCGUGCCAGCAGCCGCGGUAAUACGGAGGAUCCGAGCGUUAUCCGGAUUUAUUGGGUUUAAAGGGUGCGUAGGCGGAAUAAUAAGUCAGUUGUGAAAGUUUGCGGCUCAACCGUAAAAUUGCAGUUGAUACUGGUAUUCUUGAGUGUACAUAAGGUAGGCGGAAUUCGUGGUGUAGCGGUGAAAUGCUUAGAUAUCACGAAGAACUCCAAUUGCGAAGGCAGCUUACCGGGGUACAACUGACGCUGAGGCACGAAAGUGUGGGUAUCAAACA
rnacentral:rRNA from 1 species